rnacentral:misc_RNA from 1 species
AACGCACAUUGCGCCCGCCAGUAUUCUGGCGGGCAUGCCUGUUCGAGCGUCAUUUCAACCAUCAAGCCCCCGGGCUUGCGUUGGGGACCUGCGGCUGCCGCAGGCCCUGAAAAGCAGUGGCGGGCUCGCUGUCACACCGAGCGUAGUAGCAUACAUCUCGCUCUGGGCGUGCUGCGGGUUCCGGCCGUUAAACCACCUUUUAACCCAAGGUUGACCUCGGAUCAGGUAGGAAGACCCGCUGAACUUAA